UUCCGGUUGAUCCUGCCGGAGGUCACUGCUAUUGGGGUUCGACUAAGCCAUGCGAGUCUAUGGACUUCGGUCCAUGGCGGACGGCUCAGUAACACGUGGCUAACCUACCCUCGGGUGGGGGAUAACCUCGGGAAACUGAGGAUAAUACCCCAUAGGAGAAGAGGUCUGGAAUGAUCCUUCUCUGAAAACAUAUGUGCCCGAGGAUGGGGCUGCGUCUGAUUAGGUAGUUGGUGGGGUAACGGCCCACCAAGCCUACGAUCAGUACGGGCCUUGAGAGAGGCAGCCCGGAGAUGGGGACUGAGACACGGCCCCAGGCCCUACGGGGCGCAGCAGGCGCGAAACCUCCGCAAUGCACGAAAGUGCGACGGGGGGACCCCAAGUGCUUACGCACUGCGUAGGCUUUUCUAAAGUGUAAAAAGCUUUAGGAAUAAGGGCUGGGCAAGUCCGGUGCCAGCAGCCGCGGUAACACCGGCGGCCCGAGUGGUGACCACUUUUAUUGGGCCUAAAGCGUCCGUAGCCGGUCCAGUAAGUCCCUGUUUAAAUCCUACGGCUUAACCGUAGGGCUGGCAGGGAUACUGCUGGACUUGGGACCGGGAGAGGGCGAGGGUACUUCAGGGGUAGCGGUGAAAUGUGUUGAUCCCUGGAGGACCACCUAUGGCGAAGCACUCGCCUGGAACGGGUCCGACGGUGAGGGACGAAAGCCAGGGGCGCGAAACGGAUUAGAUACCCGGGUAGUCCUGGCCGUAAACUCUGCGGACUAG
rnacentral:rRNA from 1 species